UACGGGGGGGGGCAAGCGUUGUUCGGAAUUACUGGGCGUAAAGGGCGCGUAGGCGGCCUACUAAGUCGGAUGUGAAAUCCCCAGGCUUAACCUGGGAACUGCAUCCGAUACUGGAUGGCUUGAAUCCGGGAGAGGGAUGCAGAAUUCCAGGUGUAGCGGUGAAAUGCGUAGAUAUCUGGAGGAAUACCGGUGGCGAAGGCGGCAUCCUGGACCGGCAUUGACGCUGAGGAGCGAAAGCUGAGGGGAGCAAA
rnacentral:rRNA from 1 species